UCGGAGGAUUUGCGUCCAGAGGA
rnacentral:snRNA from 1 species